rfam:Triticum aestivum genome assembly, contig: Triticum_aestivum_CS42_TGACv1_scaffold_471317_6AL
AUACUACUCCCUCUGUCCGGAAAAUUAUGUCCCGAGCUUAUCUCUUAAAUGGAUGUAUCUAGCACUAACUUGGUGCUAGAUACAUUCAUUUCAGGGACAAGCUUUUUCGGACGGAGGAAGUAUCAA